GGUGGACAAAGCAGACUCGCGAUAGACUUUUUUCCUUGCGAAACAACAUUGGUGCAGUUAGUAGGUCAGCAGCUGAACUUCCACAAUGCCGUUGUUGUGUCGCUUUGGUUAUUCGUGCCCAUACUGAUCCGACUCAGAGUGUAGGUUUAAGGCCAAUUUUAGCCAAAGCCGGUUUUUCCGCAACUCACGUGGCAGGAGGAUGGAGCACCCUUGAGGCUUUACCACAAGCACAUUAAUUCAUCUAUGGCUAUAUACGACUGCUUAUCACUACCGAGAGGAUAACAGAUGAGCUAUGACUCGAUCUUCUCCAAGAAGCAGUUUUUGCGGUUACCAACAGCUAAGCAAAAUAAUCAUAGUUCGGUUUGAGUAUUAAUUGAUUAUAACUCUGUUCAAAUUACUUAGUUAAAUAAAUUGAUAUGUAUCUUGUGUUUCAUUCAA